CCCAUGUGCUCUUCUGGUUUCCUCAUUGGUGUUCAGGAAGAGGAGGCUGGGCUCUUCCCGGGGAGUGGAGUGCUAUGACAGAUGAGACUUUCAUGCAAGAAAAUAAAUCCUGCACUUUGAUGUACUGCUUUAAACUUAAAGACCUCUUUGGACCCGAAAUUGUAAGUGGUGGACAUGUCCUACCAUCUGUAAGCUCAAGAUCCUCUAGAGAACUGCAGGAUUCAGGGUGCUCUACUGACAGUACCUGGGGCAGCCGGAUCAGGAAAGAGUUUGUCC
rnacentral:lncRNA from 1 species